rfam:Schistosoma haematobium scaffold507_12, whole genome shotgun sequence.
AUCCAGUUAAGGAGUCCCAAAUAGGAUGAGACGCGCGUCCAGGAU